AACGAACGCUGGCGGCAUGCCUAACACAUGCAAGUCGAACGAGAUCUUCGGGUCUAGUGGCGCACGGGUGCGUAACGCGUGGGAAUCUGCCCUUUGGUUCGGAAUAACAGUUGGAAACGACUGCUAAUACCGGAUGGUGACGAAAGUCCAAAGAUUUAUCGCCAGAGGAUGAGCCCGCGUAGGAUUAGCUAGUUGGUGUGGUGAAGGCGCACCAAGGCGACGAUCCUUAGCUGGUCUGAGAGGAUGAUCAGCCACACUGGGACUGAGACACGGCCCAGACUCCUACGGGAGGCAGCAGUGGGGAAUAUUGGACAAUGGGCGAAAGCCUGAUCCAGCAAUGCCGCGUGAGUGAUGAAGGCCUUAGGGUUGUAAAGCUCUUUUACCCGGGAUGAUAAUGACAGUACCGGGAGAAUAAGCUCCGGCUAACCCCGUGCCAGCCGCCGCGGUAA
rnacentral:rRNA from 1 species